AUCUAUGUUAUCAGCUAUUAAUAUGUCUACAGUAGGGAUUAUCUGAACAUACUUGAUUUAACGAAAGCAUCAACUUAAGGAGAUGCACCGCGUGUGUCAAAAUAAGCGUGAACGCUUACACGCUGGAUUAUAAUUACACAUGCUCCAACAAGAUUAUUUUGGCAAUUAUCGCCUAAAGUAUUUUUUUAAAUUCUUUCCGUGCAGGUAUAUAAACGCCUUGUGUCUAGCCUUAUUAUCGUGUGCUCAGAUUCUACGAAGAAUCGACCAAAGGUAUAACCAUGUUAUCAGCCGUCUCAUUCCUGCUACUCGUGACGCUUUACGUAACGGUGUCUAGUCAGACGUAUAAGGGAUACCCUCCGCCAAAGCCAUAUCCAAAAGAUCCAUGUUACAAAGUGUAUUGCCCACCUAUCUACUGCCCUAAGGGGCAAUACACACCGCCUGGCGAGUGCUGCCCGCGUUGCAAAAAAGGUUAUGGGUAUCAAGAUCCAGACCCAUAUUUCCCAGGCGGAAAAUGAAUGUAUAAUUCGUGACAACAAUGCAGACAAGGGAAUGACAUGAACUAAUGACAGAAGAAAUGGAUCACAUAUAGAGCAAAUUGUUAUUGUACUGAAUUUGUUUGCUUGUGCAGCCUUAAAUAAAUAAACUUUAAUCAAAA